UUGUUUUCUGAGAAUCGAAAAUGAGUGUCGUGAAAAAAUACGAUGAGUGGCGGCGGUCAGCGCGGCGCAAAGGAAACCGGCGGCUCACAAUUGCUUCGGACCAAGAGAGUAGCAAUUAUAGGAGUGAGCGAAACAUUGGCAACACUGAGCGAGAGAGCAAUUCUAUUAAAGUCA
ensembl:ncRNA ZC8.7 ncRNA